rnacentral:tRNA from 1 species
GAGGGUGUAGCUCAGUGGUAGAGCAUGUGCUUAGCAUGCACAAGGUCCUGGGUUCAAUCCUCAAUACUUUCA